GAACGAACGUUAGCGGCGCGCCUAACACAUGCAAGUCGAGCGAGAAAGGGCUUCGGCCCCGGUACAGCGGCGCACGGGUGAGUAACACGUAGGUAAUCUACCCCUGGGUGGUGGAUAACCUUCCGAAAGGAGGGCUAAUACAGCAUGAGACCACGAGUCCGAAAGGACAUGAGGUCAAAGCCGGCCUCUUCACGAAAGCUGGCGCCUGGGGGAUGAGCCUGCGGCCCAUCAGCUAGNGGUAGGGUAAUGGCCUACCAAGGCGAAGACGGGUAGCUGGUCUGAGAGGAUGAUCAGCCACAC
rnacentral:rRNA from 1 species